AUUGAACGCUGGCGGCAGGCCUAACACAUGCAAGUCGAGCGAGCGGCGGACGGGUGAGUAAUGUCUGGGAAACUGCCUGAUGGAGGGGGAUAACUACUGGAAACGGUAGCUAAUACCGCAUACCAUCAGAUGUGCCCAGAUGGGAUUAGCUAGUAGGUGGGGUAAUGGCUCACGUAGGCGACGCUCCCUAGCUGGUCUGAGAGGAUGACCAGCCACAAGGGAACUGAGACACGGUCCAGACUCCUACGGGAGGCAGCAGGGGGGAAUAUUGCACAAUGGGAGCAAGCCUGAUGAAGCCAUGCCGCGUGUGUGAAGAAGGCCUUCGGGUUGUAAAGCACUGUCAGAGGGGAGGCGUUACCCGCAGAAGAAGCACCGGCUAACUCCGUGCCAGCAGCCGCGGUAAUAC
rnacentral:rRNA from 1 species